GUAUUACUAUCAUCCACUCGAGGCGCAGAGCGUGCUUUUCAUUCAGGUGGUUUCGCAUUAGGUCUGUCAACUCCAUGCAGUGCUGAAGCUUUUCAUUCAUUACCUGCAACAGAUUUCAAACACAGGGCAAAGCUGGGUUCUCCACAUUGUGUGAGAUCACUACAGAAACAAUCCAUAAAGGGGCUCACUGCAGAAAGCUGUUAACAUUUCUGUGAAAGUGCAGGAUGCAAAGUCUUGUGAUGUAGCGUGCACAAGCAAUGGGAGUUCUAAUACAACUCUCAGUUCAAAGAGUCAUAAAAAUAAAUACAAAUUUAGAUAUGCAUAUGAAGGUAUUAAACAGCUACUGGGUGACAUUUAGUCACAAAACAGUGCAAGCAAAUAACAUGCAGCUUACGGGAAUGCCUCAAAAGUAACUAAAUAAGUAUGUAAGGUUGCUGUACCACUGGAAGAGGUAUCUCAUGCUUAUUCUGGUAGAGCAGUAAGCAUUACAUUGCCCUGCAAUGGACUGACCUGGAUGAUCAUGUCAUCAGUAAGAAGACUGCUUCACAUCACAUUUUUUUUAAAACUUGUUUUCUUGCACACAUUUCAGAAAAAGAAUUAAAGCUCCUCUUCUUACAACUAUUUAAAGCCUAAGUUAGUGGCUCAGGAAGUACACAAUCCAUUUAAGUCUAGGUGGUUGAGGCAGGGCUGUUAACCUAAACUGGGUAGAAGAUGUGAGUGGGUUACGAAUACAGAAAGGGGGAUGGUGUAUAGGAGCCUAUCGGUCUUUGACUCUUAUAAAAGAAAAACAGACAUCCGUGGAACCUGGCUGAGCCAAUGACAGCUGAAUGGAGUAUGGAAAAUUGUUACAACAGUAAGACACCUACCUUAACUCUGCGAUUAAUGUUGAGAAAUUGGCAUGUUUUGUCAUAAAGCUCUUCCAGUUUUUCUCUGUCCCAGUAGAAGUCAGGUGUUAUUAGCAGGUCUGAACUCAGAUUUAUGCGGUGUCUAAAAAGAAUGGUUACUGCAGUAGUUCAAAGUUCCUUCUGGUGCAUAUAGGAGCAAAUAUUUACAUAGUAAUUAAAAUAAAAAUUACAAAGUUUUUCUUGUUAAGUAAAAUAUGAGAAGAAUCUCAUUCAUAAUAAAAACACACAUGUAGUCACUGUUUAGAACUAGUAAUAUCUCCUGAAACUUUUCCAAGAAUACUGUAAUAUGCACACCUUAUGCAUUAAUUGCUUUUGCCUUACGGCAACAUUACCUCCUUAACUUGUCACUUUCCUUGACUUCUCCUAGCUGUACAGAAAUCCUUCACUAUGCUGGUAGCUCAUUGAAGCUGAUCAAAUAUGUGAAUUAAAGUUAUGGGGGAGGUCCUUAACAGCUUGUUUCUAUUUGAGAACUCUUAAGUGUUACUGGCAGUGCUCACUGGGGAUGGGAGCACAGUUCAGAACCAGGCUACUGUCUCAACAUUAUAAAGGCUAGGAGAUAAAGUCUUCUGUCUCUCAACCUACUGAUCACGUAAGUCUUUGAACUUUUGAUCAUUGUAGCUCAUUUACUGAAAGGUCAUCCAAGCACGGGUAUAAAACUUAAUGUUUAAAAUAGGAACUGUGUUUUCAUUUAUCUCUUUCUUCACUGAUUCUGCAAGGUUUCUAUUAAAAAAAAAAAAAAAAAGUCUGUAGUAAUUGCAACUUUUCACUUGAGAGAGAUAAAAUGUAAUCCUGGCAAUGUAGCAUUUGUUUCCAGUGUGUCUGGGGGAAGAACAGAAUUUGCAGAUGAUGUCAAAUCACUGAAAAGCUUUUCUAACUUUCAGCCAUAGUUCACAAUUCUGCCAAUCCCUGUGCUUCCUCCCGGUAUCCUUUUGCAUGCUGUAGUACGUACUGUAACUGCAUUCCUGAACCCAGAGAAGGAAAAGGGUGUGGAAUCAGUCCAUUUACAGAAUGCUGCUUAACACAUGUCUACAGUUGAGGUACUGAGCAGUGAGUCAGUGGGAAACAGUCCUCUGACCACCACAACAGCACACACUGCCAUGAGCCAGAAGGUGUCUGAGGGAAUCCCCCCACUACUACACUGUGUUUAGGCCAGACUGAACUGCUCCGAAGCUUCUAGUGUACUUCUGGUGUCUUUGUAUCAUGCACAACUUGAUUUUUAAUUUUUGUAUGAUGAUACCUUCAGUGUAACAAAAAAUGUUACCUUAAUGCAAAAAGUUCUCCGAUUUUCUGCAUGACAUCUGCGUGAGAUAGUUUUACCUUCCUUCUUGAUUUUAGUAUCUGCAAAGUAACAAGUUUUACCUGCCUGAUCAAAUAGCAUAUACUAGUGGUUAAGAAGUCUGAAGUUGUACAGCCUGAAGUAUAUAUAAGUUAAAAUCUAAACACGUAUCAGAUUUAAUAACACUUAAGUUUGGUUUCCAUAGUGCCUUGCUUAUCUAGCUUGAUAAGAGUACUGUCGUUCAGCUAUUCUCCCAGGUAAGAAUCCUGGAAUGCUUUCUGUGAAUUGUUUGUUCUCUCUCAAUACUACUGCUAUUUUUAAGGCAUGACAGUGUUCUUUUUACCUUACUGCUGUUUAGCUUUUCUACAAAUGUCCUCCUCACUUAAAACAAUGUAUUACUAUUUAUUCUCUUCAUUAAAAAUAAAUGAGGAUUUAUCUUUUGAACCCUGUGAAUCUUAUUUGUGUAUGCAACAUGAUACAGACUUCUUAUUUUAAUUACAUCUCAAGAGAAAGCGUAGCUUAAGUGUAACACUCAUGAACUCUUAAUUAUAUUGAAGUCACAGUGAGGCCAAGCUGCCACACUAUGCUAUGUUUGGUCAGGCUUUUAAAUGCAGUUUUCCCCACGCUGUGCCCCAGCCCUUUACAGGCUGCCAGUUUCGUGUCCCAGCCCUUUAAAGAUGUUCUGAACUUUCUAUCUUGAUGGAUUUACAAUCAAAUGUGUUAAGUAUCCAGUUGCUUUUUGCUAUAUCCUCGGCUGUAUCUAGACUGAUAGAGAUUUUACAAAGCACAGGAGAAAAUGAGGAGAAAGGUACAAACAAGACCUCACCUCAGGAAUUGACUGGAUAGAUUCCACAAAGUUAUCCAAUAACGACUCCCAAAUAGCCAGUUUUACUGCAACACAGAGGUGACAAAGCAGAAUGCUGUGAGAGGCAGGUAUGUAUGCUUUCAAGUAAUCAUCUACAUCUGCCAAAAUACAGCACUGUCUCUAGACAUGCUGACACAAACAUAUCUGUAGUGAGUUACCAAUUACACCGUACAACCAAUGUAUUCGUACAUCUACAGACAAAUUUGGGUUGUGUAACGACACAAUUCUGCCUGCAGAACCACCAUGAGCUCAACUCUCCAGUGGAUUGGUUCAGAUCCUGGAGAAGCUUUGCUUCAGCUUAGGAAGGUGAGUUUGAGUGCUACACUGUGUCUGUGCCUUUGCAAACUCCAUUCCAAGGAGGCAAUGCAGAAGCUUGAAAUGCUUUGCAUUGCUGGAGUCAAACUGACUUCACGUGGUGCCAGUCAAGUUUCCACUGCAUUUCUACAAUGUUGUGCAGAACUUUGGCUCCAUUUGUCCUGUGUUUGAUGAAUCAUGCUCAAGCCAGUGAGAAUUAGCUUGUCUAGUGAUGCCACCACCUGUAUUUGUUGAAGCUAAAUCCAAACUUACACAACCUCCAAUUUUGUUCUUUUGGUGAAUAUAAUGCUAACUUCAACUACAAAAAGAACCCUAUUCUCUGGAAGUUGUUAAUCCCACGUAGUACCAACGCAAGUUCUACUGUGUCUCAGCUUGAUCCUUCAAGAUGAUUUCUACACGGACAUGCUGAAAUCAGGCUGUUUUUCAGUCCUCAGAUUCCCAAGCAAGAAUGAAGUAAUAACAUCUGAUCAGUUCCAAAAAUUACCUCCAUCCACUGAGAGAAAUUAAACAGAUUUAAUUCUCGAACUCUUUUGUGAUCAUAAUCGUACUAGUCAUGAAGCACAAUAAACCCAGUGCUGAGCAUUCUUCAUGUUCAUCUUAUGAGUACGGAGCCCUAAUCCAAGCCAGUGACUUAAACAGCAUUUAAUUUAGCCUUUGAAAACAGACAUUUUAGCCAGCAGUGAUUAUUUGACAGAAGUUAGCUUCUAUUGUGUAUUAAAUUUGACUUUAACUAUAUUGCAUCCCUUAACAACACUGAACAUCGCACUGUCUUCUUUUAUGGUGUACAUGUUUCAUAGUAACAUAACUUGGCACCAAGUAUCUCCUGGGAAUAAAUCCCUUGCUCCAUGAUACAUGGCAACACUUUUUCAUGCUGUGGGUGUAACAACAGCAAAAGUAAAGGCUUUUUUCCUUAAUAGCUCUUUCUUCAGCGGUCAAGAACCAUUUAGUUAUUAUGCUGUAUGUCUUGAUCAAGUAGUGUAUCACUUCCAAAACACGCAUUCUGUUUCUUGAUGUCUUCUGUUUAAAGUUAUGUUCCCCCACAUAGUAUAUGAAUCUUGUAAUUUACUCAAAAAGCAGUAGAGGUUUUCCUUUAAAGUCUUCUUGAGGACAGCCUUAUUGCUGCUAGUUUCUAUUCCCACUUACUACCUUGUUCUAGGUCUGAAGAAGCAGAGAUUAUUUCCUCGGGCAGAAGCAUCACUACUGAGCCUGAAUUCUUCUCAGUGCCUCCUGACAUAAAUACCACCAUGGCACACAGCCAUUGCUAACAAUCCUGGAAAACACGGUCUGAGACUCCAGUCCACACACUUGAUGCUGCUAGACUUUCCAAGCUGAAAAUUGGUUUUACAACUCUCUCUGGUUUAGCUGAUAUCAAGUUUUUUUUUCUGUUAAUGAUGUCAUGAUCAAUUAAGAUCACUGACAGCUUUGUAAUACUGGGCUGCACUCUUGACAAUCCUAGAAUAAUCUCCAGUGUGGGCAAUGGGAUGCUUAGUAGAAUGUCUGUCUUUAGCAAAGUAUUUUCUUAAGGAGUUUUGUUCAUCUUUAAGAUUUACACAUUGCAAAAAGUAAUUCAAAUUUAAGGAAGACAAAGUAAAAAUGAAUCCUCCCACUGAUGUGCAAUCAAUCUUUAUACAGUUUACCAAAACCAGACACUAAGUCUUCUCCAACCUUUCAAAGUUCCACUCACAAUGGUAUUUCACUAAAUCUAUAGAAUGAGUUGAUAGUACACAAUAGCAUUAACUUACCAGAAAGACAAAGGGCAUUUGAAAAGGCAAAUUUCUGCAGGACGACUUCAUCAGUAUCCAGCUCAGAAUUUAACAAGAUUUCUCCCUUAUGAAGCUUUGAUUGCCCUCUGUAAGAACAAGAUUUAAGCAUCUUCAUUGACUAAGCCAAACAGCAAAGGAACAUUUAAAGAACAAUCAGUGCAAGUAAGAUUGGUUAUAUAAAGAUAAUGGUCUAUCUACAUGGCUAUCACCCUCAUUGUUGCAUUUUACUCAUGUUCAGUACAAAAAUAACCAAAACAGAUAACUGAAAAUAAGUUCCUCAGUCUUAAGACUACGUCGGGUAUCACAAAUUCCACAAGUGGAUAGUUCACGCAGUUUUCAAAUGGCCAGAAAACAAACAAACAAAACUAAAAACCAACCAAACAAAAAAACCCCACAGUUGUCCUCUGAAGAAAUUACCUUAAAUAAACUCAAGCUCAUUAGCUCAGCUUAUGGUGUUACUGUCUCCUGAGUACAGUUUUUUGGUGUUGUUGGAACAUUGCAGAUAAAUGACAUCACCAACAACAUUGAUAAGUAUCUCCACAGAGAUCAUUUGCUCUCCGUGAUGAAAAAAGUAGUUAAAAGGACAAGAUAGGUGCCAGAUUUAUCUGUACACAUCACUCAAGCUGUAUCUCUCCUAGGAAGUGAAGUAUGUGCAGAACACAACUUUGUAUUUGAACCUAGAGCUUAUGCAGAGAAAUUCUGUGCCUCCUUUAAAAUCCAAGUUGUCUCAAUAAUGGAUAUUUAUUUUCCCUGUGAGGCACUUAUGUUCUCUUUGGGACACUUGAAGAAUAUGUUCAGUUGUGACAUGGAGCUUCAUAAUUUAUGAAGUCUAACGUAUACCCAAAUCAUAAAGGUCAUUAAUUGAAAGUUUAGCAGUUCAGCAAAAUUUGUGAAUUUGUUUACUGUUCUCUCCCUAUUUUACUCAUUUGAAAAAAAAAAACCAAACCAAUUGAUAAGUGUAUUUUUACUAGUUGCUUUCGCUUGAAUUUGUUUUAGAAGUCUGUAAGGUGUUAGAUAAACACAAGCACUUGAAAAUACUUACUCUCCUAUUCUAUAGUUUAUCUCUUCAUUUUCCCAGUGGACCAAUGCAACUUCGUAUGGCUGAAUUUCAUGCUGUUCCAGCACUCGCAUUAUAUUCUUCAUCUAAGAAAAAGACAAUGCACAUAAGUAUAUAUAUAUAUAUGUAUGUAAUAUAUAUAUUAUGUAUAUAUAUAAAUAUUAUGUAUAUAUAAUGCACAUAAUAUAUUACUACUGUAAUAUAUUAUCACUCUACGAAGAGCUAGCAUGUAAAUACAUCGAUGAAGGCAACUUUCCUGCUUAUUAAUGUUAUUCACAUAAAAAGGAGUAGGUGUGCUAGUAACUUUUUUGUAUCCGAAGAAAGCAGUGAUUACCACAGUCUAUUUUGGAAGCUAUGUGCAAGAAUUUUGUGUCAUUGAACAACUGCAAAGGAUCUGUGAAAAUGUCAUUCAAUGCCUGCAUUUAUAAAACAAAGUAAGGAUUAACCACAGCAGCAGUAAAGACUGACAAUGCCAGAAUUAACUGUCGAUCCAUAAUGCAGCAUGCCAGAUUUCAAGGGUGUAUACACUUGGAUCCUGACAGCUUAGUUGGCAUUGUGGAGUCAUGAUCAAUAUAGUAAUAGCCAUACUGUUAACAAAUGAAGACUCUUUUCCUAAACUACUUCCAGCUCAGAGUAAGAUUUAACGAAGGUUUACAGACCAUAACCGACUGUGUGAAAUUCAUGUGCCUUGUCAUAUGCAUACUUGCAAAGUUCUGCCAUUCAUCUGGAUAACAGGAAAUGAUGUUUCAGUGGCAGCUUUCUUUUAAAGUGAUACAAAAGCUUCCAUUUAUUCCCGGCCCAGCCUAACUUUAUGGAAGGAACUACCUGUCACACAGUACAUUUAAUGAGAAAAGAUCUUUUGGAUUCAUUAAGUGCAAACUCUCGCAAUUAGAGGUGACUGCAUCACAGAAUCACCUUCUAACAAAACUGAUGCACUCCACUUUGAAGCUAGUUUAUUUAUUUAUUUUUUUCCCUCACUACUUUUGGUGGUUGUAUGGGAAUUGCUAAGUCAUGCCCUGAACCAAUGACUGAGCACCUGUUGUAGGGACACAGCCAGCCCUGGGAGCACAGGUGGAACCGGGUUUCACCCCUCCCAAAGCCUCAUUUAAGGGUUGGCUGCCACCAGGGAAGGAUCUCUACCUGGAGAUCCCUUUCUCUGGAGUAUUUGGUGAGCCCUAAUCCUUAGGACAGUUCAGGAACAACUGAUUUGAUGAAUCACCAGGGCAGGUUCUGGGUGUGAAGCUGGAGUUCACCACAGAAGAAACAUUUGUCUGAACUUGCUUACUUGCCUUUUCAAGUAUUGCCCUUACUUAAUCUUUCUUUAUCCUCUCCAGAUAAAAUAUAUACGGUGGAUGUCCAUUUGGUCCCUUAUAAGGAGGGCUACAGUAUGAACCUCUAAAAUAUUUUUAAAGUGGUCAAAAAAGAAUGAUAUUAGGAAGGACACUACAAAGCAAUGCAUCCAUAUUAAUUGCUAAUUUAGAUUUCUAUGUGUUAGUAUUUUUCAGAUGUAAGAUACAACUUCUGACUGGGUAACUUAGCAUCGUUAGAUCUAUCAUACCAACCACCACAAAGUUUGCUGUCACAAUCAAACUUUCAUCACUUCCUGAACACUUUUGACAGAGUAUCUAUUGUAAGGAGUCAAACACACUGUAAAGAAAUGAAAGAAUUGGCAAAAACCACACUCCCAGGGUAAAAUGCCAGCAACAGCAAUGAAUGCAUCACAGCAAUUUGGGAUAAUUCUAUCCCGAAGCACUAAAAGGAGUGUUCUUUUUAAUACAGUGGAACUAUGAAGGAACAUGGAGCCUAUACUACACAAUGCCUUCUUUCUGAGAAAGACAACCAUUACUCAAGCAAUCUUCAUAAAGAUCCACUGGAGUACUGUCACGCUUGGUAUCUUAAGAGAGGCAGCCAGACACUUGAUAACCUCUUAUGAAAUGUCCAUGAACAAUAUCUUUUGCUUUGCAUAAUCUGUUUAUUCACAAAAAAUAAUAAAUCUACUGCUAACAUAUGAAAAUCA